rnacentral:tRNA from 1 species
GGUGUAGCCAAGCGGUAAGGCAGCGGAUUUUGAUUCCGCCAUGCGGAGGUUCGAAUCCUCCCAC